AGGCUUGUCCCUGCCCUCUGUGUGGCGCGAAGGCCACUGGGAGUUGUAGUCAGUCAACGAGGUCAGCGCUUCCCGGAAGUGACGGAAGGCCCCGCCUUUUCCUCUCUCGGAGCUUCCGCUGUCCGUCUUGGCGGUGUGACUAGCAAGCUCGGCUGGUCCGGCCGCGCCAGCCGUAGUACCUCUGCGCAGUCGCCAUGUCGCGGUUUUUCACCACCGGAUCGGACAGCGAGUCCGAGUCGUCCCUGUCCGGGGAGGAGCUCGUCACCAAACCUGUCGGGGGUAACUACGGCAAACAGCCAUUGUUAUUGAGCGAGGAUGAAGAAGAUACCAAGAGAGUUGUCCGAAGUGCCAAGGACAAGCGGUUUGAGGAGCUGACGAACCUUAUCCGGACCAUCCGUAAUGCCAUGAAGAUUCGUGAUGUCACCAAGUGCCUGGAAGAGUUUGAGCUCCUGGGAAAAGCAUAUGGGAAGGCCAAGAGCAUCGUGGACAAAGAAGGUGUCCCCCGGUUCUAUAUCCGCAUCCUGGCUGACCUGGAGGACUAUCUUAAUGAGCUGUGGGAAGAUAAGGAAGGGAAGAAGAAGAUGAACAAGAACAAUGCUAAGGCUCUGAGCACCCUGCGCCAGAAGAUCCGAAAAUACAACCGAGAUUUUGAGUCCCAUAUUACAAGCUACAAGCAGAACCCUGAGCAGUCUGCAGAUGAAGAUGCCGAGAAGAAUGAGGAGGAUUCAGAAGGCUCUUCAGAUGAAGACGAGGAUGAGGAUGGAGUCAGUGCUGCAACUUUCUUGAAGAAAAAAUCAGACGCUCCCUCUGGGGACAGUCGCAAGUUCCUCAAAAAGAUGGAGGAUGAAGAUGAGGACUCAGAAGACUCUGAAGAUGAUGAAGACUGGGACACAGGUUCCACAUCUUCUGAUUCAGACUCAGAGGAGGAGGAAGGGAAACAAACUGCGCUGGCUUCAAGAUUCCUUAAAAAGGCACCCACCACAGAGGAGGACAAGAAGGCAGCUGAGAAGAAACGAGAAGACAAGGCCAAGAAGAAGCAUGAUAGGAAAUCGAAGCGACUGGAUGAGGAAGAGGAGGACAAUGAAGGCGGGGAGUGGGAGAGGGUCCGGGGUGGAGCGCCCCUCGUUAAGGAGAAGCCAAAAAUGUUUGCCAAGGGAACUGAGAUCACCCAUGCUGUUGUCAUCAAGAAACUGAAUGAGAUCCUACAGGCACGAGGCAAGAAGGGAACUGAUCGUGCUGCCCAGAUUGAGUUGCUACAAUUGCUGGUUCAGAUUGCUGCUGAAAACAACCUGGGGGAAGGCAUCAUUGUGAAGAUCAAGUUCAAUAUCAUUGCAUCUCUCUAUGACUACAACCCCAAUCUGGCAACAUACAUGAAGCCGGAGAUGUGGCAGAAGUGCCUGGACUGCAUCAAUGAACUGAUAGACAUCCUAUUUGCAAACCCCAACAUCUUUGUUGGGGAGAACAUUCUGGAAGAGAGCGAGAACCUGCAGAAUGUUGAUCAGCCACUGCGUGUCCGUGGCUGUAUCCUAACUCUAGUGGAACGAAUGGAUGAAGAAUUUACAAAAAUAAUGCAAAAUACUGAUCCUCACUCCCAAGAGUAUGUGGAACACCUGAAGGAUGAGGCACAGGUGUGUGCCAUCAUUGGGCGCGUGCAGCGCUACCUGGAGGAGAAAGGCACCACUGAGGAGAUCUGCCGCAUCUACCUGAGGCGCAUCCUCCACACCUAUUACAAGUUUGAUUACAAGGCCCAUCAGCGGCAGCUUACCCCUCCUGAGGGCUCCUCAAAGUCAGAGCAAGACCAGGCAGAAAAUGAGGGUGAGGACUCAGCUGUGCUGAUGGAAAGACUGUGCAAGUACAUCUAUGCCAAGGACCGCACAGACCGAAUCCGCACGUGCACCAUCCUGUGCCACAUCUACCAUCAUGCACUGCACUCCCGCUGGUACCAGGCCCGUGACCUCAUGCUCAUGAGCCACCUACAAGACAACAUUCAGCAUGCAGACCCACCAGUGCAGAUCCUGUACAACCGCACCAUGGUGCAGCUAGGCAUCUGUGCCUUCCGCCAAGGCCUGACCAAGGAUGCACACAAUGCCCUGCUGGACAUCCAGUCAAGCGGCCGGGCCAAGGAACUUCUGGGCCAGGGUCUGCUGCUGCGCAGCCUGCAGGAGCGCAACCAGGAGCAGGAAAAGGUGGAACGGCGCCGGCAGGUACCCUUCCACCUGCACAUCAACCUGGAGUUGCUGGAGUGUGUCUACCUGGUGUCUGCCAUGCUCCUGGAGAUCCCCUACAUGGCAGCCCAUGAAAGUGAUGCUCGCCGACGCAUGAUCAGCAAGCAGUUCCAUCACCAGCUGCGCGUGGGCGAGCGCCAGCCCUUGCUGGGUGAGUCCCCCCGAGUCAAUGAGGGAACAUGUGGUUGCUGCCUCUAAGGCCAUGAAGAUGGGCGACUGGAAGACCUGCCACAGUUUUAUCAUCAAUGAGAAGAUGAAUGGAAAGGUGUGGGAUCUUUUCCCUGAAGCAGACAAAGUCCGCACCAUGCUGGUUAGGAAGAUCCAGGAAGAGUCACUGAGGACCUACCUCUUCACCUACAGCAGUGUCUAUGACUCUAUCAGCAUGGAAACUCUGGCAGACAUGUUUGAGCUGGAUCUGCCCACUGUACACUCCAUCAUCAGCAAGAUGAUCAUUAAUGAGGAGUUGAUGGCCUCCCUGGACCAACCAACGCAGACAGUGGUGAUGCACCGUACCGAGCCCACUGCCCAGCAGAACCUGGCUCUGCAGCUGGCCGAGAAACUGGGCAGCCUGGUGGAGAAUAAUGAGCGGGUAUUUGACCACAAGCAGGGCACCUAUGGUGGCUACUUCCGAGACCAGAAGGAUGGCUACCGCAAAAACGAGGGCUACAUGCGCCGCGGUGGCUACCGCCAGCAGCAGUCUCAGACAGCCUACUGAGCUCUCCCCUUCUUUCCCUGUGGCCAAGACCAUUCAACCUUUAAGUCCUAAACCACAAGUCAUUAAAAGGUCUAUUUAAAGUUGUUUUAGUUCCUGA